GGCCUGCCAGCUUAAUUAGUAGAGCUCCCCUCUAGCUAAGGGGAAGGUUUAGGUUUAAGUCCUAGGUAGGUUG